AUGGGCCUGUGUGCUGUGGCGGGUGGUCACGGCGCUGUUGCACACACCGAACGCGUGUGUCCUCGCUCGGCGUGCUGUGUGCGUGCUCCCCGCGCGCUCGUGCACGCUCUGUGCACAGCCUUAGCCGCCCGCUUCGUGCACGCUCUUUUCACGUGCUCCAUGCAUGCCCUCUGCAAGCACUGCACGCACGCUCUCGCUCUCUCCUCGCGCUCUUUGCACCCUCGCUGCGUGCUCCAUGCGUGCCCGAUUGCAAAUACUGUGUGGAUGCUCGCUUUGCACGCUCCGCGCAUGCCCUCUUGCAAGCUUCACGUAUGCUCUUUUCACACACUCCGUGCACGCUCUCACCACACGCUCUCUCCGCACACCCUGUGCACGCUCCGCACAGACUCUCUUUGCACACUCGUGCUCUCUGCACGCUCCAUGCAUGCGUGGGAGCACUCCCAUUGCUCUCUGGUGAAUGCCCUGCAGAGUCUUACCUGCACGUUCCAUGCACACCCUCUGCACAGUCCAUGCACGCUUUCUCCACGUUCUCCGCGUGCACGCUCUCCACGCAAUCCGUGCAGCCUCAGCUGCACGCUCCGCGCGUGUUCUCUCCAAGUCCUCCCCAUGGUCUCUUGCGCGCUCUGUGCACGCUCUCUUUGCACGUUGUAUGCAUGCUCUCUCUGCACACCCUCGUGCAUGCCCUCUUGCACCCUCUGUGCACGUUCUCUCUGCAUGUUCCAGGCACACUCUGUCCACACGCAUGGGCAUGAUCUGCCUGCGCACUCCGCGCACGCUCUCCCCACACGCUUCGUGCACGGUCUCUCCGCACGCUCGGUCCAUGACACCCCUGCACACGCUGCGUACACUCUCUCUGCACAUUGCGCACAUGCCCUCUUGCACGCUCGGUGCGCACGCUCUCUGUUCGCUCUCUCCGCAUGCUCCCUGCGUGCUACCGCCGCGUCCUCUGCGCAUGCUCUAUCUGCGUGCUCCUUGCGCGCUCGCUCUGCACAUCGCACGCACGCUCGCUCUGCACGCUCCAUCCGUGCCCUCUUGCAUGCUCCGUGCAUGCUUUCUCGGCAGGCUGCGUGCACGCCCUCUUGGACACGCUGUGAUUGCUCUCUCUGUGUGCGCCGCGCGUGCCCUCUCGCGCGCUCCGCGCAUGCUCCCGCUGCACUCUGCAUGCACGCUCGCUCCCAGCACGCCCGCAUGCCUUCCGCACGCUCCCUGCACGCUCGUCCCGGCGAGAAAGCCAUUAAAGCGACGCCCCAGGAAGACGGGGGACGGAAGAGGGGAGCUCCGGGUGGGAUCAAUAGCAAAUUAGUGACUUUACGCCGAGCUGAACGAUGUCCGGUGGCGGGAGCGGGGCCGCGCUGGUGUCCCCACUCGCUCGCCGCCACCGAAGCGCGCACGUGUCCCCCUGGCUCAGGCGCUGAUCUCCACGGCGUUGGCCUCCUCCUGCUCCCGGAUGACGUGGACGCCGGCAGUCCGCAGCAGCCGCGGGGCGCCGCGGGAACGUGCCGGCGAACCCGGCGGUGA
rnacentral:lncRNA from 1 species